UGCGGAAGGAUCAUUAUUGAAAUUAUAGGUGAGGGUUGUAGCUGGCCUCUCGGGGCAUGUGCACGCCCGAGCCCUUAAUCCACACACACCUGUGAACCUAUUGUAAGGGCCCUUAAAAAAGGCCUUUACGUCUUAUCAUCAACCCAUCGUAUGUCUCAUAGAAUGUAAAUAUAUGUCCUCGCCUUAAAAAGCGUUGAUAAACUUAUACAACUUUCAACAACGGAUCUCUUGGCUCUCGCAUCGAUGAAGAACGCAGCGAAAUGCGAUAAGUAAUGUGAAUUGCAGAUUUUCAGUGAAUCAUCGAAUCUUUGAACGCACCUUGCGCUCCUUGGUAUUCCGAGGAGCAUGCCUGUUUGAGUGUCAUUAAAUUCUCAACUCCGAUCGAUUUGUUUCGACUUCGGAGCUUGGAUUUGGAGCGUGCUGGCGUCGGUCGGCUCCUCUUAAAUGCAUCAGCGGAAUCUAACGUUUCGGACGUCAGUGUGAUAAUCANGUUGCGCUGUCUGUCUGAUCCGAAAGCCCGCUCAC
rnacentral:rRNA from 1 species